rnacentral:lncRNA from 1 species
AAUCAUACAUUCCAACACAUUCAUACAUAAGCCAACUGUGCUUUGAAAGGGUUCAACAUACUUUGUGUCAUUCAACACUUGCUACAAUAUGCCUCGACACCUUGCCCUUAUUCUCACCAACCAGGUGAUGAAAUGUGAAGAAGGAAGUCAUCUUCAUGCCACCAACCAGGUGAUGAAAUGUACAACCCGUACUCUCCUUCAUGCUACCAACCAGGUGAUGAAAUGUACAACAUGUACUCUAAUAUCAUUUGGAAACUUGCCACUCAUGCCACCAACCAGAUGAAGAAGAGACUCAUCUUCAUGCCACCAACUAGGUGAUGAAAUGUAUAACCCGUACUCUCCUUCAUGCCACUAACCAGGUGAUGAAAUGUACAACUCAUACUCUAAUAUCAUUUGGCAACUUGCCAUUCAUACCACCAACCAAGUGAAGAAGGAACUCAUCAUCGUACCACCAACCAGGUGAUGAAAUGUGAUGAAGGAACUCACCUUCGUACCACCAACCAAGUGAUGAAGGCAACUCACCAUUCAUUCCACCUACCAGAAGACGAGUGGUACAACUUGUACAUGUGAACUUCUAGCAUUCACAAAUAAUCAAAAACCCUCAAGCUUGACAACUCAACUAGGGGAGCACUUAUGCCCAACAAGAGUUAUAGUCACUAACAAAGUCUUAUUACAAACCAACUUCCAUCCUCCAUGAACAGGCAGACCUGCAAAAAUGCUCAACCAUUCCUCAUAUCUGAGAAGGCACU